rnacentral:rRNA from 1 species
UUUACUCCUACGGGAGGCAGCAGUGGGGAAUAUUGCACAAUGGGCGCAAGCCUGAUGCAGCGACGCCGCGUGAGGGAUGACGGCCUUCGGGUUGUAAACCUCUUUCAGUAGGGAAGAAGCGAAAGUGACGGUACCUGCAGAAGAAGCGCCGGCUAACUACGUGCCAGCAGCCGCGGUAAUACGUAGGGCGCAAGCGUUAUCCGGAAUUAUUGGGCGUAAAGAGCUCGUAGGCGGUUUGUCGCGUCUGCCGUGAAAGUCCGGGGCUCAACUCCGGAUCUGCGGUGGGUACGGGCAGACUAGAGUGAUGUAGGGGAGACUGGAAUUCCUGGUGUAGCGGUGAAAUGCGCAGAUAUCAGGAGGAACACCGAUGGCGAAGGCAGGUCUCUGGGCAUUAACUGACGCUGAGGAGCGAAAGCAUGGGGAGCGAACAGGAUUAGAUACCCUGGUAGUCCAUGCCGUAAACGUUGGGCACUAGGUGUGGGGGACAUUCCACGUUUUCCGCGCCGUAGCUAACGCAUUAAGUGCCCCGCCUGGGGAGUACGGCCGCAAGGCUAAAACUCAAAGGAAUUGACGGGGGCCCGCACAAGCGGCGGAGCAUGCGGAUUAAUUCGAUGCAACGCGAAGAACCUUACCAAGGCUUGACAUGAACCGGAAAGACCCUGAAACCACGCCCCC